rnacentral:rRNA from 1 species
AUGGAUGGGAGUGGUGUUUUAUCCGUGGUCUAUGGCCCACAAGGGGAUGAGUUGAAGAUCAAUUUUCUGGUGGAGUUGCAGCAUCGGAGAGAUGUUUUCCCGGGGCCGUGGAUGGUUCUUGGAGACUUCAGUAUGAUCUUAAGAGCGGAGGAGAAGAAUAACACCAAUCUCAAUAGAUCCAUGAUGAGGAGAUUCAAGGCGUUUGUGGAUAACAAUGAGCUCAGAGAGCUAUACAUGCACGGGAGGAGGUUUACGUGGUCUAAUGAGAGAGAGAAUGUGGUGAUGACCAAAAUUGAUCGUGUACUUGUUUCGGUGGAUUGGGAGCUCUACUACCCAGAUGUUUUACUUCAAGCCCUAUCCAUGAACAUCUCAGACCACGCCCCGUUACACCUUUCCACGGUGGCC